CUUUUAUCUAAAAUCUUUUACACUCUAAAUUACUUUUAAUAAUGUGUGGAAACCAUGUGUUUUUAUGGGCUGUCUGACAAGGUUUCUGCAAACUUAUUUUUGGUGUGAAAUUAUUUGAGAUGAGCUCAUUAAAACUGUACAUAAAUGCAGAAAUUGUGAUUUUUAAGAACUGAAAAAGGGCAUCAAAACCAGAUCAGUUUAAGUUUUACCUAAAAAAUUAAAUGAAUAACAGAGAAGUCUGUACAUCUCUCAGAAUUACUCUGCAAUAAUACCAGAAGUACAAGAUAGUGGGUUUAAAUAUUUUCCUUGUGCUUAAACAUAACAUAGCCAUGAUCUUUAAAAGGUCCUCCUAGAACUCAUUCCCCAUAGAGAAUAACCUUUCUCACAGUGUGAUUUAAGGUGGUUUCUCCCACUGCAAGCAGGUUGCAAAGGUUUUCCAGAGGAAUUUGUCUCAGCCUGAUCUUUUCCAGGAUGCAGUCUGGUUUCUGAGAGUGCUCUCUGCUGUAUUGUCAGAGGUAUGCACCAGGACUGUUUAUCUGAAUUAAACAAAUGGGUCUAUGAGAAAAAAUUCUGUAUUUUCAUAUGACUUGCAAGCAAAAUUGUACCUAGAUUUUUGUUUUUAUAAUUAAAAUUAAAGUGGAGAACCAAGUGUGCAUACGCCCAAACCUCUUGUUCCAUCAGUCCCAGGUUGUCAGUGGUUGGUGGAGCGUAAUAUUGACGUACCAGACAAAAUAAUCUCACUCUUACUACACCUGCUGCACUCAGUCUCAGUUAGUUAGAUCAUAUUUUAAGCCCUGCAGCCUCAUUCAUACACCCUCAAGCGUGACGCACUUCCAAUUGACGUCAGUUCGAUCCAAAUUAAACCUCUCUCCACAUACCCACGCAUUUUUAUGGGGUUUUUUUUUGUGAUUUAUUGUGAUGUAAGCACAGAGUUCAAAGCUGUUUCUUCUGUUCUGCUAUUCCUAUAAGUAAUUUUGAAAUUUUACACAACAUUUAGAAAGCAUAAUCUAUCAUUAUGUUUUGUACUUGUAUUUAAUUUGCUUUAUGUCACGAAGCAGAAGUAUUCAAGCCUUUAACACUUAAGAGUUGUGACUUUCUGUAUUUGUAUUAUCUCAAUAACAAUGAGCCACCACUGCAUUGUGUGAUAACUUCUUUCAUUAUAACCAGUUUGUAAUUUACUUUAAUGUACUUGACUACAA
ensembl:lncRNA